GACGAACGCUGGCGGCGUGCCUAACACAUGCAAGUCGAGCGGAGACAGUGAGUAGCUUGCUAUGAGCUGUUUUAGCGGCGGACGGGUGAGUAACGCGUGAGCAACCUUUCCCAGACAGGGGAAUAACACACCGAAAGGUGUACUAAUACCGCAUAAGACCACGGGAUCACAUGGUUCUGGGGUAAAAGAAUUAUCGGUUUGGGGUGGGCUCGCGUCCGAUUAGGUAGUUGGUGAGGUAACGGCCCACCAAGCCGACGAUCGGUAGCCGACCUGAGAGGGUGAUCGGCCACAUUGGGACUGAGACACGGCCCAAACUCCUACGGGAGGCAGCAGUGGGGAAUAUUGCACAAUGGGGGAAACCCUGAUGCAGCGACGCCGCGUGAGCGAAGAAGUAUUUCGGUAUGUAAAGCUCUAUCAGCAGGGAAGAAAAAAAAUAGACGGUACCUGACUAAGAAGCACCGGCUAAAUACGUG
rnacentral:rRNA from 1 species